AUGAUACCGCAAAAGAGGUUAACACGUGGCUACACAAUGAGAGGUGUCCUUGAGGAAUUUCAGCUUAUUGGGCGAAAGCAAGAAAAAGAAGAUAUUAUUGCACUAAUUGAAAAACAAGAUAGCACUCAUGAAGUUCAGGUGAUAGUAGUAUGGGGAAUGGGUGGUCUUGGAAAAACCACUCUGAUAAAAAAUGUUUUCCAAAGCAAAGAUGUCAGUGGCCUGUUUGAAAAGAAUGCUUUCGCCACGGUCUUGCGGCCUUUCAAGCUUGAUGAGCUCCUUAGGAGCUUGGCAUUGCAACUAGAUGCAAACAAGGAAUCCAUGGACUUUACAGGUGACACCCAAAAAAGCAUUGCUUCGAUGGGAGUUAAAGACUUGAUUAAAGUGUUGGGCAGACGUUCAGAAGGAAAGAGGUGUUUGAUUGUUCUCGAUGACCUCUUAGCUAUGGAAGAAUGGGAUAAAAUAUCGCCAAGUUUAGGUGAAAUAAAAAAUCUGGUUAUUGUGAUCACCACAAGGCGAGAGGAUAUUGCUAAGCAUUGUUGCAAAAAACCGAAGUGCAUACGUUUGCUCAACGGUCUUCAAGAAAAGGAUGCAAUUACCCUGUUCACAAGAAAGGUAUUUAGGAAUAUGACUACUGAUUUGGCUGAGCAAUAUCCUGCAUUGGUCGAACCAGCAAAACAAAUCCUGAAGAAGUGCAAUGGACUUCCCCUUGCCAUAGUCACCAUAGGUGGUUUCUUGGCUGAUCAACCAACAAAAACUGCUGCAGAGUGGAGGAGACUGAAUGAGCAUAUCAAUGUUGAGCUGGAGAUGAAUCCAAAGAUUGAAGUUAUAAAAACAGUCCUCAUGAAAAGUUAUGAUGGCCUACCCUAUUAUCUCAAGCCUUGUUUCUUGUACAUGUCCAUCUUCCCUGAAGACCGCAAUGUUAGUCGGAGGCGUUUGGCUUACCGAUGGGUUGCUGAAGGUUAUGCGCGAGACAAGCCCACAGCAGAUAGAUACUUCAUGGAACUCAGAGAGAGAAGCAUGAUAUUACCAACUCAGCAAUCAGUUUGCAGCAUACAAGGAUUCAACUCUUGCCAGCUACACGAUCUGAUUCGUGAUAUCAGCAUUGCAGAGUCUUUGGAGGAAAAUCUUGUUUUCAGGUUGGAGGAAGGCUGCAGCUUGAACACCCACGGCGCAAUGCGUCACCUUGCCAUAAGCAGCAACUGGGAGGGUGAUGAGUGUGAGUUGGAGAGCACCGUGGAGCUAUCCCGUAUACGGUCAUUGACAGUGUUUGGCAAGUGGAAGCCAUUUUACAUCUCUGAAAAGAUGAGGUUUCUCCGGGUGCUGGACCUGGAAGGAACAGAAGGGUUAAGAAAUCAUCAGCUUGAGCACAUUUGGGUGCUUCUUCAUCUGAGAUACCUCUCUCUUCGUGGGUGUGGGUACAUCUAUUACCUCCCAGAUUCGGUGGGUAAUCUGAGACAACUUGAGACACUAGACAUCAAAGGGACGAGUAUAGCUAUGUUGCCCAGAACCACCAUCAAGCUUAGUAAGCUAUGUUAUCUGCAUGCUGGCAGCGGUUCAGGGGAUAAGGAGAAAACUUGUUUUUCAAAGUAUGAAGACAUUUGUGAAAUGCAACGUGAUUUAUGUGUAGGAUGCUGCUCACUGGAUCUUUCAGACAUGUAUGGAUUUGGCAGGUGUGAGGCUUUCCAUCUUGCUUGGUGCACAUUGUACCCUAAUAUCAUUAGGGGCAUAGAGAAUUCUGGUGUUAAGGUGCCAAGAGGGACCAGGAAACUGAAGGCCCUCCGUACACUACGGUAUGUUCACCUUGCUUGGGGAACUGCCAUUAUAAAAGAGAUAAAAGGCCUCACUGGUCUGCAGAAGCUAGGAGUGGUCGGUAUCAACAAGAAAAAUGGUCCAGGUUUCUGUUCGGCCAUUUCCAAUCUCAGCCAUCUUGAAUCAUUGUCAGUGCGGUCAGGUGAUGGCCUAAAUGGCUGUUUGGAUGGCAUGUCCACAGCUCCGGAAAACCUGCAGAGCCUCAAGCUAUCCGGUAGCCUGGAAAAAUUGCCGGAAUGGAUCAAGGGGCUCCAAAAUCUCGUGAAGCUCAAGUUAGAACUCAGCAAGCUAUCAGGGAACCUUGAAGCCAUGAAAGUACUUGGGAAACUACCAUACCUAUCCAUUCUGGGUUUGUGGGAUGACGGGUUUAAGAUCGACGUCCUCCAGUUCCAGACUGGCCUUUUCAGAAGGCUCACGGUGCUUGAUCUUUUCUACUCAAGGAUGGAAAUUAAAUUAGUUGAGUUUGAGGAAGAAUCAGUGCCCAAUCUUGAGUUGCUGACCCUUAGCCUUGGAUCUACUGAAAUUUCCUUCUCUGGGCUAGAACUUCUCCAAAGCAUCAAGGAAGUACGGCUUAGUGUUCAUAGCUGCUUGUUUGGUACACCCAAAUCAUCAAAAAAUGGGGGAAAUGAAAAAAAAUGGGGAAAGAAAAAUAUGAAUACAUGA
rnacentral:rRNA from 1 species